UACAGAGGUGGCAAGCGUUGUUCGGAAUUACUGGGCGUAAAGGGCGCGUAGGCGGUCUUGUAAGUCUUGUGUGAAAUCCCUCGGCUUAACUGAGGAACUGCACGAGAUACUGCGAGACUUGAGAUCGGGAGAGGGAAGCGGAAUUCCGGGUGUAGCGGUGAAAUGCGUAGAUAUCCGGAGGAACACCGGUGGCGAAGGCGGCUUCCUGGACCGACACUGACGCUGAGGCGCGAAAGCUAGGGGAGUAAACGGG
rnacentral:rRNA from 1 species